rnacentral:rRNA from 1 species
GACAGAGGGUGCGAACGUUGUUCGGAAUUACUGGGCGUAAAGCGCGUGUAGGCUGUUCGGAAAGUCGGGUGUGAAAGCCCUGGGCUCAACCUAGGAAGUGCACUCGAAACUCCCGAACUGGAGUCCCGGAGAGGAAGGUGGAAUUCUCGGUGUAGAGGUGAAAUUCGUAGAUAUCGAGAGGAACAUCGGUGGCGAAGGCGGCCUUCUGGACGGUGACUGACGCUGAGACGCGAAAGCUAGGGGAGCGAACAGG